AUCAAGCCAGACAAGCAGACCAAUGUUCAGCAUUCCUGCCAUGAGGCCCACAAGUAGCACAACCCUCCCUGAGGGUGAAGACAUACACUUUGGGGGGACGUGAGGAGGGGACACUAUUUGGAAACAAUUCCUGACAUGCUCAAAAGCCGAUUCCACCAAUCAGACAGGACACUGCUUUGACAGAAGCUACUUGGUCAUUGCUUUAUUAUUAUUCUGCAUUGCAAAGCCAGCCUAGCUCAAUAAAGGACUGGUUUUAGAACCCUUUCACACUGAUCUGAAAAGAACACUCGUUCGGGAUAUAACAAGCAAAUAGUUACCCAAGGAGAACAGUAGCUGCCAAAUGACACAGCAAGUAUGAUGCACCUGGAAUCUGAACAUGUGCCAAAAUCCACUCGAUGUGUUUUCAUGAAAUAUUUAGCACACAUUUUGGCAAAACUGUAUCCAGAUGAGUUUGUUAAAAAUCUUAUUCAGAUGUGACCUAAAUGGCCAGUCUUCAACUAAAUGUAGCUGCAGUAUACCUCUGUAACUACUAGCUACACAAGCCAUAAUGACUGGAUUUCAACAGCCUCACCCAACAGUGGAAUGUGAUUUGAAAGACCUUCUCAAAAAUUCAAUUGGAUCCUCAGACUAAGAGGGAUUUCCCUUCUCCUGGUGUACACCAAUAGCUACAGCCAGCCCAGUCCUAUGGAUAUCUGCCUUCAGAUGCAAAAGCCAAGCAAACUUUUUCAUAGUGAACUGUGAGUAUUUACUUAGGGAAGUACUUAGGGAAGGAGACACCCACUUAGGGAAUGAGACACCCACUGCAAGGAAUAAACAUUGUGAAAAGGCAAAGCUCGUGUUAUGAACAUCUUGUUUGAGGUCCUCUGAUAUCCAUGCAACAGGAGGAGCCAGAAUAUGGGUGUCACUGUCAUAUAGACAGGAAAAUACACUCCCUUCAUCCACAAAGGUUUUGACAACUUUAUUUUAAAAACCCUUCUCUAGUUAUUUCAGUUUUUUCUUCAUUGGCUAGAAAACCUUUUCUGUCCAUCUUGCUUGGCUAAGUUGUCAAAGCCAGAAAGGGGUUGCAGAAGAUUCAGAUGGAGUCCUCACGGCAGAUGAUUGCUGUUCUUACAAAAAGCAGGUAGCUUUUUACUACUAAAAAUAAAUUUACUUAUUUAUUAUUGAAAAUAUUACUUAGAUGCCUCUCACGGCAGGAUCUCUGUCAAGGUGGCAUACAAUAAUAAAAACUAAUGCAGUCUGAAAAGAGCCCAGUAAAAACAAUGAAAGCAGCAAGCAAAUGUAAAAAAAUAAAUGUCAGCAUAGAAUAAAACUAACAAUUGCAGCUACAACUCUUCUCAAUAACAUAUGAAGUACUAUGUUUCUAAAAUACCUUCAGUGGUAGAGCCUAGUUAACUCCUGUUAGCAACUUGAGUACUGUGGGGUCACUACAGAAAAGGCUCUAUUUUGUAUGGUGACACACUUAACUACAAUCAUGGGUGGGCAAAAUAGAAGGUUACUUACCUAGAUGUAACAUACUGUUGCUUGGGGCAAUUCAGAAACCCAGGUAACAUUGAGCUAACUGCAUUCUAAAAUGGCAUGAAGAAAAGAAUCAUAGAAUCAUAGAAUAGUAGAGUUGAAAGGGGCCAUAAAGACUAUCAGGUCCAACCCUCUGUU